rnacentral:rRNA from 1 species
UGAGCAAUCUGCCCUUCUCAUCGGAAUAAGCGUUGGAAACGACGUCUAAUGCCGAAUACGACCUCCUUUCGCAUGAUCGGAGGUGGAAAGCUCCGGCGGAGAAGGAUGAGCUCGCGGCCUAUCAGCUAGUUGGUGUGGGUAAUGGCCCACCAAGGCGACGACGGGUAGCCGGCCUGAGAGGGUGACCGGCCACACUGGGACUGAGACACGGCCCAGACCUCCUACGGGGAGGCAGCG